AUAAACCUCCCCUUAGGUUGUUAAAAACUCUUCAUUAACCCGACUUUAGUUGAAUCAAGGCUCCAUUUUUUAUGGAGCCAUUUCAGUACUGUGGGAGUCUCCUCUCCUCCGUGAGUUCGACUUGCCCUGUAAAGUCCUCUCCCCUGCUCUUACCCCUUCCUGACUCCUCUGCCUCAUGAAGCCAGUGACAGCAGGGACAUCAUCACACUUCCUGGCAGCAUACCUCUUUUUGUUCUCCAUCAGCACAAACCCUAAUUUGUACAAAUGUAUUUUGUGUAUUUCAGCUAAUGACAAGUAUAAUUAAGAAGUGUUUGAUGACUCCUGAACAGCUAGCUAUCUUUCAUGUCAAUCACAUUUCCCAUGAUCAGCACAGGAAGUGUGAAAAAGAAAAGCUAUUUUUGCUGAACUUAACUCUUUCAGAAGCAUUCAAAUUUGGUAGCAGUGAGUUCACUUUCUGAUACAUUCAGGAAAUGUCAGGAAAAAAACCCAGUCAUGAGUGUCUAUAACAUAAAUGAAGUUAUUGUAGACGUCACAUGGAAUCAUCCCACUCUAUCAUCAAAGUGCCAGAGUUGACAUCUUUGUAUCUGAGCUGCUAAAUAUAUUCUAUGACAGCAUGAAAGAAGAGAUAUCUGUAUGUCACCUGCCUUUCAGUCUGCAUUCUCCAGGGCUACAAAUUUUGGAAGUCUGGAAAUGGAGCUAUUGAAAUUCAAGAAAACUCUUAUCUGGAAAAAUAAAUUCUAUGACCUGCAUGCAACACUUGAGAAGAUAGAGUGUGAAGGGAUGACAAAGGACAGCACAGCUGGUAGUUUUGAAGGCGAAAUCCUUAAAGUGUGGAAUUCUCUGUCAAAUAAUUUUGUCAUCAAAAGCAGUUGGGAUUGCUUUUCUUACUUUGUUUGGAUAUUAUGCUGGUGAGCAGAUGUUUUCAGCUUUGGAUUAUAUCAAAUAUGAUACAAGAAACAGACUAACAGAUAACCUGAGAGCUGCAUGUGUUGCUCUUAAACUAACAAAGCAUGAGCCAAGGUUUGACAAGUUAUUAGCAUGCACACAGCAGUGAAGAUCACAUUAAUGGUGCAAAAGCAAACCAAAUGCACUUUUACCUUUCAAU
rnacentral:lncRNA from 1 species